AUAAUGGGUCAGCGACUUAUAUUCUGUAGCAAGGUUAACCGAAUAGGGGAGCCGAAGGGAAACCGAGUCUUAACUGGGCGUUAAGUUGCAGGGUAUAGACCCGAAACCCGGUGAUCUAGCCAUGGGCAGGUUGAAGGUUGGGUAACACUAACUGGAGGACCGAACCGACUAAUGUUGAAAAAUUAGCGGAUGACUUGUGGCUGGGGGUGAAAGGCCAAUCAAACCGGGAGAUAGCUGGUUCUCCCCGAAAGCUAUUUAGGUAGCGCCUCGUGAAUUCAUCUCCGGGGGUAGAGCACUGUUUCGGCAAGGGGGUCAUCCCGACUUACCAACCCGAUGCAAACUGCGAAUACCGGAGAAUGUUAUCACGGGAGACACACGGCGGGUGCUAACGUCCGUCGUGAAGAGGGAAACAACCCAGACCGCCAGCUAAGGUCCCAAAGUCAUGGUUAAGUGGGAAACGAUGUGGGAAGGCCCAGACAGCCAGGAUGUUGGCUUAGAAGCAGCCAUCAUUUAAAGAAAGCGUAAUAGCUCACUGGUCGAGUCGGCCUGCGCGGAAGAUGUAACGGGGCUAAACCAUGCACCGAAGCUGCGGCAGCGACGCUGAUGCGUUGUUGGGUAGGGGAGCGUUCUGUAAGCCUGUGAAGGUGUGCUGUGAGGCAUGCUGGAGGUAUCAGAAGUGCGAAUGCUGACAUAAGUAACGAUAAAGCGGGUGAAAAGCCCGCUCGCCGGAAGACCAAGGGUUCCUGUCCAACGUUAAUCGGGGCAGGGUGAGUCGACCCCUAAGGCGAGGCCGAAAGGCGUAGUCGAUGGGAAACAGGUUAAUAUUCCUGUACUUGGUGUUACUGCGAAGGGGGGACGGAGAAGGCUAUGUUGGCCGGGCGACGGUUGUCCCGGUUUAAGCGUGUAGGCUGGUUUUCCAGGCAAAUCCGGAAAACUAAGGCUGAGGCGUGAUGACGAGGCACUACGGUGCUGAAGCAACAAAUGCCCUGCUUCCAGGAAAAGCCUCUAAGCAUCAGGUAACAUCAAAUCGUACCCCAAACCGACACAGGUGGUCAGGUAGAGAAUACCAAGGCGCUUGAGAGAACUCGGGUGAAGGAACUAGGCAAAAUGGUGCCGUAACUUCGGGAGAAGGCACGCUGAUAUGUAGGUG
rnacentral:rRNA from 1 species